CUUUUGCGUUUAAAAGGUAUUUUAAUUCAACAUCGAGGUCAUAAUCUCACUUGUCAAUUAGAACUUUCUAAGAGAAUUAAGCUGUUAUCCCUAAAGUAACUUGUUCUUUUUUUAAAAUUUUUAGAUAUAAAAACAUAUUUGUUUUAAUUAGAAAAGAAAAGAUAUAUUNCCCUACCGCCCCAGUAAAANUUUCUNUUAAUUCUCCAGAAAUAAAAAAAUAUAAAGUUAUAUGGGGUCCUCGCGUCUUUGGNAAAAAUUUGAGCCCUCUUACUAAAAAGUUAACUUCAUUUUUUUAUCCCGAAAAAUUCUCCCCCAGUUUACUCCUUCAUCCCAG
rnacentral:rRNA from 1 species